UGAGCAGCACUGCCGCGUGCGGGAGAAGGUCUUCGGAUUGUAAACCGCUUAUACCGGACAAUAAUGACCGGACCUGUGUAAUAACACCGGUGAACUCCCUGCCAGAAGACGCGCUAAUACACAAGGUGCAAGCGUUACCCGGAAUCACUGGGCGUAAAGGGCGUGUAGGCGGGAUGUUAAGUCUGGGUUUAGAAACCGAAGCUCAUACUUCUGGAUUGGCUUGUAUACUGUCAUUCUAUACAACUGGAUGGAAGAGUGGAAAUCUCAGUGUGUCGGAGGAAUGUGUAUAUACCGAGAGGAACACCAAUGGCGAAAGCGGCUCUCUGAACACCGCUUGACACUGAGACGCGCAAGUGUGGGGAGCGCACCCGAUUAUAUACCCGGGUAGACCACACCCUAUACGAUAUGUGUUGGAUGAUCGCCCGCUCGAGUGAUUGUCGAAGCAAACGCGAUAAACACACCGCCUGGCAAGUAAGGCCGCAAGGUUGAAACUCACAGGAAUUGACUGGCAAGGUUGAAACU
rnacentral:rRNA from 1 species